CGCCCGGAAGGCUUCUAAAAGACGCACAAAUACGGAUCCUGUGAAGGGACAUGCGUUGAUUGCGCUCUUGUAUAUAAGAUAAGAUAAGAUUUAGAACUUUAUUCAUAAAGAUAAAUAUUUUUUAAACCCGAAUGAAAUUCUUUUGCCAGAGACAGCUUCAGAUAACAAGAAAAAAUAAAUAUUAAUGAAAUAUAAAUGGAAAAAUGUGUACAAAUAUAUCCAAAAGUACAAUAUGUAAUCGAAAAUAUAUAUGAAUUAUAAAAUCUAAAAAAAAAUACAUUAAAUAUUCUAUAUAUACAAAAUAUAUUUAAAGUAAAAGGUGCUUGGGAACUAGAACAUAUUGCAGAUGAUGUGGAAGUGCACAUGGUGUGGUACUGCACAUUAUAUUAUAUUAAUGUACAUUGUAAUUAUUGUGAAAUUUUAUACUCUCAGUGUUCAUUGGGUCAGCGCUGCUCCCUCCAGAAAGGGGAGGAGUUGGAGAGUGUGAUGGACACUGGUAGGAAAGAACUCCUGUGGCGUUCUGUGGUUGUGCUCAGUGGUCCCAGUCUACGACUGAACAUGCUCCGGUACAACUCCAGUGUCGCACACACCUCAACCAGAGACUCCAGCUCCUCCCACACACCUCAACCAGAGACUCCAGCUCCUCCCACACACCUCAACCAGAGACUCCAGCUCCUCCCACACACCUCAACCAGAGACUCCAGCUCCUCCCACACACCUCAACCAGAGACUCCAGCUCCUCCCACACACCUCAACCAGAGAUCCAGCUCCUCCCACACACCUCAACCAGAGACUCCAGCUCCACUCCCAUGAGAGAGCCCGCUUUCCUAAUACACUUGUUGAGUCUGUUAGCAUCGUCCGUCUUCACCCUGCUACCCCCAGCACACUAGAUCGUAGAAGAUGGUGCUGGCUCUACCACUGUGUGGUAGAACAUCUGCACAGUUCUACAGACAUUAAAGGAGCUGAGUCUCCUGAGGAAGUACAGCCGACUCUGACCUUUAUUAUACAAUCACUGAGCACUAUACCACUACUAAUUCAUUCAAUCAUCUAAUUUAGCAGAAGUGCAAAGCAUAAAAUCCUCAGAUAUGAGCCAGUAGCUUCCGGUAAUGUUUACAUCAAGCAUAAGAAUGAGGGGAAAAUUUGUGAUUUGUGGCUGUUCUGCUGAUGGAAACACCUUGUUGUUCUUCUUUGAUAGAAAGUCUGCAGUAACUCACAUAACCACUCUGUAUAACGGUGACAAGCAGAAAAGCAUCUCAGAAUGAACAACAAACCUGGAGGUGGAUGAGCUAAGAUCACCUCAGGUUCCUCUUCCAUCAGCCAGUGGGCAGCAGAAUCACCAAAACUGGACAGAUGAAGAUGAUAAAACAUAGCCUGCUCUGAAGAAUCACAAGGUACAUCAGUCCACAAAGUUAUUCAGAAGUCCCCUGUACUCAGACUCCUGUCCAUCCCUAAUACACCCCACCACUGCAGAGUCAGAAAACUUCUGCAGGUGGCACGAUACAGAGAUGUACUGAAAUUCUGAGGUGUACAGAGUGAACAAAAAUGGAGACAGGACAGUUCCCUGAGGUGCUUCUCUGUUACUGACCACUGUGGCAGACAGGCAGGCCCCCAAUUACACCAACUGGGGCCUAUCUGACAGGAGGUCAACAAUCCAGGAGAUGGUGGAUGAUCUGAUCCUCACAGUACCACCUUGGCCAUCCAGAUAGGACUGGGUCCAGAGCAAGGUUCACCUGUGUGACCAGGUGGGUUAAAACUAGUCUCUUCAACACCUUCAUGAAAUAUGACGGCAAAGCAACCCAUCUGUAGUCUCUGAGGCCAGAUGGUGUGGCUUUCUUAGGUAUCGGUACUAGACAAAAUGUUUUCCAUAACACCGGUACCCUUUCCUGCAUCAGACUCUGGUUGUAGAUGUACUUCAGGAUACCAGACAGCUGAGUAGCCCAGGACUUAAGAACCCUGGGAUUAAUGCCAUCAGGACCUGCAGCCUUGCCUUGAUCAGGGCUCUGCAACUGGUUGGCCAUCACAGACAAGUAAGAGGAAGUGGUUGGUCCAGUGGAGGUAGGAAUUAGGGGGACUGUGGUCAGGGACACUCAGCAAGUAUGAUGCUGAGUGUCCCCCAAGCUGACCUUUAUAUUGAAGCCUGUAAUUCAUUUGUUAUUCGCUGUAUUUGUGUAGGAGCAUUAAUGUUAAUAUAAAUUAAACUGCACAUAAUAAAAAUUAGCGAUUACUUCAUUGUUUUUGUCUUUAUUGAUUUCUGGUAAGUAAAUAUAAAGUAAUGUACAAAAAAAAAUAGUAAGAAAUGAAAAAUGUACUAUAAAUGUACCUGAUCCGGUUCCUUCGCUAAUAAAUAAAUAAAUAAAUAUUUUUAAAAAAAUGAAAAAAAGAAAAGGGAAAAAGGCGUGGAUGAAGGAAGAGAGAGAGAGAGAGAUAGAGAGAGAUGGGGGCGUCUGCAUGACGUCACCAGGCGUUCACUCUAUGCUCUAUAAAACCCUCAUGGUGUCUCUCAGGCUUGCCAUAACUUCACUUCUCUUCAGAUCUUCAGGUGUGUGUGUGUGUGUGUGUGUGUGAGUGAGAGAGAGAGAGAGAGAGAGAGAGAGAGGAGACAAGAAGAAAACUUCACCAUGAUUAAAGUUCUAACGGCGUGUAUCGUGCUGCUGGUGCUGGCCAUGCAUUUCUCAACACAGGUUGAUGCUCAAACUGCAGGAAACACGACAACAACACAGGCCACAAAAACCACUACCCUAAAUGGUGGAGGAUUGACGGUGCUGCCCGGCCUCCUCGGCAUCGUCCUUCCCACCGCCCUGCUCGCGGCUCUGCUUCAACAUCUCCACUGCUGAACCCUCACGCCGAGGAGAUCCGGAGUAAAGCUGGACGGAGAGACGCACCCAAAGAGCCACACUUUCUAAAUUCUUCAAUCCAAGUGGAAAAGCUGUUCCUGAGAUCUGCUUCUAACAGAUUAAAUAAAUCUUUCACUUAGCGUCUCUAGUCGGGGAUGAAGAAUCUUCAAAUUGAAGCUCUCUGGAAACGUCUCGUCCGGGAAACCUUCUAUUCUUUCCUCUGAAGCCUAGGAAAUCAAGCUGCAUUGAUCGAGGCGACCCACAAAAUGACCAGCUUGCUCCAAAUUUCUCUCUUUUUGCUUGAAAAUAUACCUUUAGGUCUUUAAUGAAUCCUUUAUAGAUAUUUUUACAUUUGAUCUGUUAAAUCAUAAUAGUACUGUAAUAAUGUCCUGAUUAAUUUUUUUGUAUAAAUCUUUAACAUUAUUUUAUUCAUAAAGGCAAACAAAUAAACGAACCGAUGGCUAAUUGA